UACAGCCAUAACACACUGAAACACUGGUUCCUAUACGAUCACUGAAGUUAAAUAAUAUCGAGCCAGGUCAGUAUCUAGAUGGGUGACCUCUUGGAAAUACCAGGUACUGUAAG